CAAUUAAAAUUUUAAUUCUAAUGUAAUGCUAUUGAGAAGGUCCAUGUGGUGCUGUACAAAAACUGUAUCAUCACGUAAAGUUUUAUAGUUAUAAGUACCUGGGCUUUCUUUUAUACCAAGAAAUACCUACUCUUCCUAACAAUCAUUGCAUGAAUGAAACCUAUACCAACAAAACUCCUCUCUAUCUCAGUAGAUGCAUGCUUUAUGGGAAGCUUCGAUUUCAUACGCACAUUCAAAUAUAUCCUAAGUAUAUAUCAAUAUAUCUCUGAAUAUAUGAAAUACAUAUUCAUAUAUACAAAUCUCUUUCCCUUUUCCCCUCGUAUAAUCAGAAUCAAAGCUGCAUACACUAGAACAGCACACACCCAGAGACAGUUCUGUAAGGGUUUUAAAGGAGGCAGAAUUAUCUUGACCUCUAAAAAGGGAGCAUCAAAGAAGCCACAUGAUAUUUUGAACAAUAUCAACUCCGAGGAUCCUAAGAGGAUAACUAUAAUGCUAUUUCUCUAAGUGGGAAGGGAAGAUUAGAAGUGAGUCAAGAUUGACAUAAUAAAGGCCUCGAAAGAACAAUCAUUUCAGAAGUGAGAAGGUACACGGGGGAUUUUGCAGAUAAUCUAAAAAGUAAUGUUCCCCAGCUGUGAUUCCCAUCACAUUAGCUCAUGGAAUAUCUUUUUUAUUUCUAGUGUCUCUCCACAACAGAUAGCCUGGAGAUCUCAGCUCUUUAGAAAACAGAAGAAUAUUGUACCAGGGGUCCUCCUGAACAGCCAGAGAAUGACACAGCCAACCUAAAGCACACAUUCAUAGCAUAAUUGAUGCUUUCAGCUAACAGGAGCUGCACUGUUUCACCUUCCAUUUCAUGUAUCAUCAGUUGGCAAUGUGCGAUUACUACCUCUCUCACCUUCCAUGGCAUGACAAUUGCAGCCUGAAAGAUGGGCACAUAUUUAUUUAAAAGUACUUGUGGUGAAGGCUCACAGGAAAAAGUUUAUAAUAUGCCUUAAAAAGUGUGAUAUUGAUUCCUCUGAGCACUGAAUUAAUAAGGCCAGUUCUCCUUUUAAACAUUUAUACUGCUAGUUUCCUACUUCAAAUGAAUUAGUGAAACCAGUGGAUAUCUUAUAUGAAGAAAGAUAAAUUAAUUUCACUAUCUAAAUUCUUGUUUCCAUAGGUAUGAGAGAAAAAUGCAUUAAACAGCCAUUCCAUUCAGCAUUUCCACCUUCACAUUGACCACAAAUGCAGAGAAUUGAAAGAGCAAGGAUAAUGUGUUACUUGUGAAGAAUCUCUUUAUGUAGCUCUGGUUCAAGGAGGGAUUUCCUUCAUUCAUUCUAUUUUUAAAAUCCGUGAAACAGGGCUGAAGUUUCAGCUAAUCUCAUUUCUUUCAGAUGUCAGUUCAGAAAGAAGAGGAAAGAUUUGCUUUCAGCUUUGAGCAGCUUAGCUUGCAGGUCCCUCUGCAAGAGAGGCUUGUCCAUUAUUCAGAUCCAUCCAGUCACAAUGAAGUGCCUAAAUCUCCCUCAGUGGACCAAUGAAACCCAAGAAAUUCAUUAUAUAAUCACACUGGUAAAUUCUUGAAGGGAGAAUGUGGGCACGCACUACUACAGGACAUCACGACUCGCUCUCCAAGUCAGUUACAAAAUCCCAUGGAGAUUUUUGCCACCUGACUAAAAGGCAGUUUGUCUUCAGACAGUUAGGUGAUAAAUUAAUGCUUUGACAUUGCAUACCAUGCAAACUUCAAAAACAAUCAGUUAUAUCUGGAUAGUAACAGAACAGUUACUGACUACAAACGUCACACACUUGGGAACACAAGCUACAUGAAAUACAGGGUGUAGCAUGGAGUGUUUAAUUUUAUUGCAAAACAGUACUUAGAUUUCAGGAACAAGAGCAUGAAAACAUUCCUCAAAGGACAUAAAAAUUUCCCUUGAUUGUGAUUUUCAAGUAUAUAUAGUAAGAAUUAAGCACUUAAAUAUUUCUAUUACCAUAGUGCAUAACAAAUUAAACCACAAACAUAGCCUACUUCAUUAGGUGCAGCAAAAACAAAGACAGCCCCUGAGAUAAUUACCUAAACUACUUGUUGUACUGUGAGCAUUCGGCCAUUAACAUUGAAACUGCGUUGUCUCAGCCUGAGGGAAAGAUGUCAUAUAGUUAAGGAUGCACAUUUUCUGUUGUGCAAUGCCCUGUUUGGAUUGCUUGUUUCUCUCUGAUCUUCAAGAACUGUGUCAAGUUGUCUUUCAGUAUGCAGUGUGCAAUUCUCCACGUUCCAGCUGGUUCAAGUGGCUGCAGCCCCAGCUAGACCCCUUACCUUCCUACUUGCAUGCACCUGAGCUAGAAAAGAUUUGGUCUUAGGCAAGGUAUUGCAGGCAGACAAAAGCAAUGUCUGGAAGUGACUUAAAAAUGACCAUUCCCACCAGUGAAAGAAAGCUGUACCAACAACUACACUUGCAUACUUCCGCUCUUAAGACCCUCCAAAACCAACCAGAAAUGCAGUCAAGUUAUUAACACCCAUCUUUGACUGACGAUGGGAAAAGCCAAACCAAACCUGUUUUUAAAUGACAACAGGAGUAGACUAUUACAAGAAAGUUAGCCAAGGUAUAUCACAGCAUCUCUGAGGUCUCCCUCGCAGCACUGUGACCUGACUCUCAAGCACGGCCAUCCGCAUGGGCCACGUUGCAGAUGUCCUGACAUCUCUAUGUCCUGCCAUCCUCUCCUUCCCUUUAAGGGCACCCCCUGGCUAAACAAUUACAAAUACUGCUGUUAACACUGAAGUCAUUAAUGCCUCCUGAUGACACCUUAAGUUAAUUGGCAGAGGGAGAAAGAUCAGCCCAGGACCGUCAUGAGGCCAAACACCAUGCACAACCCAAUGCUACCUGAAGGUGAACUUCUUCAAAAGCUAACAUUUCCCCAAAAUAGAACACGUCCAGCAGGACUACAAUACAUUAAGUCCACCUAACAAUUCCCUAAAUGUGACAGCACUUGUUUCUACAUAUAUAAAGUAAAAAAGAAGGGGAAAAUAAUUUAAAAGCUUACAUGCUUCUGCUUGGUUGAGAAGCAUCACACUCAAGUGUCAAACUCCUUUUAAACUUCCCAGUAACACAGAUGUCACUACAUUUUUUUGUAUAUGCAAAUUUCUUACCACCAGUGGGUUACAACAGAUCUUCUAAUUAGUCUCUGUUACAGUAUUCAAAAUUUGAACCUUUUUCCAAGGAAAAAAAAAAAAGGAAGCUGUUCUUUCAACAUUCAUCUAAUUAGGACCUUUUUUUUUCUCCUUAGAAAGGUAAAAAACAGAGAUCGUUUCCCAGAAACCACCAUACAAUUUCUUAGCAAGGUCUUCUCAGUUCAGUUCUAUCAUUCCGACUACUUUUACUUUUUCCCCAGAAAUAAGGGUGCAGCAGAGUAGCUCUAAAAAGCAAAAUACUGAUUAUGACCACCAUUCAAGAUGAUUAACUGUCAGGAGAACAUUAAAGAAUUAGUUCUGCAAACACAUGAAAAACACACAUUUAAGUCAAAUAUUCUGAGUAUUUACAACCUCCUAAAAUUAUCCCAAGGGCAACAUUACUUUACAAUAUUAAUUAGUGAAAAAUCCCAGAGAACCAAUUUUUAUGCAAGAAUUAUAAAGCACAUUUUCCCCUCUGCUAUAAGUAGCAGCUGUCCUAUUUAUCUUUCAGGCUUUUUACUCCAUACUGUUACUGUUUAUAUACAAAUUUUGACAGAAGUAGGAAGAAAAAAAAAGAAAAAGAAAACCUACGUCGUUCAACACCUUAAGAUAACCAUCAGAAAAUAACCUUUAAAAAGAACCAUUUAACUCAUCAUUUUGGGCUUACCCCCAUAAACACUGUUGGCUAAUUCCACUUACUCCAGAGAAAGCCACGAUACCCUCUGGGAAAAUCAGAGAUUAGCUUACACUUGCAAAAAGAUAUUCUUUGAACUUUUAAGGACACAUUUCCCUUCUACAGAGACUUCCCCACCACAAUCUCACACACACACAACCUCUGUAAGGCUCUACUGCCCAGCAAAUAAGAUGCAAAAUAAUGUACAGACAGCAGCCAUUUGGCCAAAUGAUAGCACAUGAAACAGCGGGCAGAGUAACUAUGAGAAUGGUCUAAUAGUUAUACUGCUGCAGUGCAGUUUUCACACCCAGUUCCAGAGCCCUGCAAAACACUCUUCUCGUGAUGGGGCCAUUAAGGCUGGUGGCAUUUCCUCAAAAUUAUACUAAUAUAUAUAUAUACGAACAUGAAUUUAUUGUGUACAUAUAUAUGAACAAAGCAACAAGAUUUAGCAAUAUUCAGAUAUUUGUGGUAUCAGAUCAUAAGUGAUGCAAAUAAGGGUCACACUACACUCUUAAGUUUUCAAACACUUGUAAUGAUACAGCGCAGUUCUCUCCCCCUGCAGUGGCUUCAGCACUAACUCUUGCCAUACUCCUCUCCUGCAGAAGACAUUCAAAAACCAAAUUGAAUGAAAUUUAAUCAGCUAAAUCUCAUUAACUCCUCCUAAACAAAUGAAGUUAGAUUAAUUCAAGCCAUGCAGUUCACACAAGCCAUAAGCUUAUUUCCCCUCCAGCCUGCCUCUUUCUGGGUUACCUUUCUAAUUGGUUUAGCUGACCUGUGCAGUGCAGUCAGAUCUAUCCUAGAGCUGAGAAUGGAUGAACGAAGGAAGAUGAAGUAUUGGAGAAGUAAUUAUACAAGGCUCUUAAAAUACUUUCAUAUGAAUUCGUUGCUUUCUAGUACUAAAAAACUCAUAUCUUUUUCCCAGGAAAUAGGAAGUAUACAGGAAACAUAGCUAACAGUCUCUCUGGUAUCUCUUACAGGUUAUCCCUGCAAAAUCCACAAAUAAAAAGGGAACCAACAGAUGCAAUGCUGAUACACGUAAGAUCAAAAAAGAACCACCACAAACUUUAUGAAAAAGCAAGCAGCAGUGGCUUUCAAAGCAGAAAGUUGAAACUGCACAAGCCAAACUCUCUAUUUUUUUUCCAGUGGGUCAUCUUCAAAACUGGAAAGUUUUUGACUUACUUUCAAAGUGCACAACUGCAGCGUUUCCAAGUCUCCAUUACAUCACAGGCUCUUGUUUUGACACACGCUUCAACAGAAUAGCACUCGGGAGUCUGAGUUUAAAAAUAUAUAUAUAUUUUUAGAAAGAUGAGAAUACUAGCAUUACCUUUCAAUUUCAUAACAGAGAGAAAGAUUACAGGCGGUAUCUUAAAAUAAUAAAUUUUCCAAGUGGGCCAGAGAAGUUUUCUAACAGCAAAAAGAAAAAUGGCUGUCUAAGACCACACCACUGCCACCAAGGUUUCUCGGGAGAAAAGAAAUUGAUCCUUCUUUGUUUGCUUGUAGCAAACAAUUCAUUUCUAAAAGCGAGUUUGCUAAGAUGUUGCCCCAACACAUCACUGGUGACCGAGCUGUAGCCUGGUGUGUUUAUCAGCAACUGAUUCACAUAGAGCACGUUUUCUCCUGCCACUGUAUCAAAUACAUUACUUAUGCCGAAUGUCAUGAAGGUGAAAAGGACAAACAUUACAAAGUUGCAUCUACCUUAAGGUUGGUAAGUCUGUGAGCGAUUUUCAUGUGAUACUGUAUUCUCCAUAUUGCUGCUUAACAUGAAGUUAUACCAUUAGAAAUUAAUUGAUACUUGUUUUUAGCACAGAUUAACAUCAGCUAGAUUUGAGCAAGAAUGACUGCUUAUUAAUGAAACUCAAUACUUAAGGUACGGCAUACAAGGAAAGAAAGAGCAUGGGGGAAAGAAGCCAAAGCUUACAAUGUAAAUGAUCAGAUUAAGUGUUUCAAUUUCAAAGAAUUUAAUAUUGUCAUAGUUAAAAAAAAAAAAAAAAAAGAGGAGUCUGGAAAAAAGUAGAAAACCAACCCACUAAAAUGGUUGGUGAUAAACUUCUAAUCAUCCCUUGGCCACCAGCCUCUAAACUUUGGCAUCACCAGCAUUGUACAAUGACUUGAAACAUGAGUUGGUAAUUACCAUCGGUCUCUGCAUACAACAAUUCCAACACAUCCGCCAAAUCUUUCAUCAGAAAUGGGUGUCUUUCAUUUGCUGUAAUUACUAUAAACAUUGCCCCGCCACUGACCAAAAUUUCCUUACUAUAGAAAACCCUGUAUAUUUUCACAACAGAGCAUUCCCUGCUUUUCUAUUCUCCCACACAAAGACCGAGCUCAUUACAGCUGCAAGUAUUGACUGUUAAGAAAAAGCAGUCAAUGUUCUACUGCAACGAAGAAUAAAUUUUAUAUGAGUUAAAAUGUGAACCUACCCUGGAAUCUUUGUUCACCUACAUUUCAAAGAAGCGUACAACCCUUUCUCAAUCUGUUAAACAUGCUAGCAAUAAGAAGGAUAGCACAGCAGGAACAGCAGGUCUCAGAGCCCUAUUGCUUGCAAAAAUGGACAGGUUUUAAGGAAGGCUUGGAGCUCAUUCAACAGCAAAAACUGCUGCAGCUGCCACGUUGUCACAAUCCAAAAGAACACGAUUGUGAACACUGAGCUCCCUUCAGAGCAGUUCAUGCCAUACCUUUACAUUUCUGGCUCACCUCCCCUUUCAUCUUACUCUCCACUCCUUUGUGAUAUUUGCCACUUAUUUUCUGCAGUUACUUGAGAAUUCUUGUUUUCCCACUCCAAUUCUCCAUACUAAGUGAAAUAUUUAUUCCACAUUCUAUGUUUUUGAAUUUAUACACAUCAUACAAGUGGAAAGUUGUCUUAUUUUUCACAGUACAAAACUCCACAGAAGCACUGCCAGAUACAUAAAAUGGAGUUGUAUCCUCUGAAAGAAGUAUACUGGUAUUGCUACUAGUUUAACUUUUUUUGCAUGAUUAACUUAUAAGCAACUCUGAGUCUGAUUAACAGUCUAAAGAGCAAGUGUGGGCAAACCUAAAAGGCCUGAAACAAAAUCUAUUUCCAUAUAGGCAUAUAAUAUCAAUCUUAUAAUUUAGAUAUUUUUUUAAAAACAAAUCAUGUAGCCAAAAUACAAUCUACAACUGUCUACUGUCUUCCACAACACAUCUAUAGAAUACAGGGUGUGAGCUCUUACCCAAAUUCCCUCUGCCAACCUGUCUGUGAUAGUGUGCCUCAUCAGUGACAAUACCAGAAGGCAUUUCACUUCAAGACAAAGCAUAUUUGCAUGUAUUCAGGAAAACAUUGGGGGUGGUUACGUUCAUUUCUAAAAGAGGUUGAUCUGCUUAAUCUGCUUAAUUUCUUCACCCACUAGUAAGUAAUAUCGGUAAUAUUGCCCACUAGCAGUGCUAUCAGCUUUCACACACUGUGUUUCCCAAAAACAAAUUUUUAGUGGAAGCAAGGAUUUAUUGUUUGGUGGCACCAAGUCAGAAUUCAGGAAGACCAUAAGUACAAGACCUCUGGGGAAUAAGCUGGUGUUUCUACCAAAGCAACCUGUUCUCCCUCUCAAACUGCACUGGCGAUGGAACCACCAGAGAUGGAAGCCUACUGCUGGUCACCAACCUCACACAGGUGAGCGCCCACAGAAAUGAGCGUCCCCAGUUGUUAUUCCAGCGUUACAACUAACAAAGAACAUGAAACAACAUGAAACAACAUGAGCACGCAUGUUAAAUGCUUGUUGGCCAUCUCCAUCCUGCUGGCAAACCAUGAGGGAUUUCUCUGACAGGCCUCUUGCCUAGGAAUGCAUUGCUACACUGUAUCUUAGUUGUUUUUUUGUUUUUGUUUUUAAACUUUCCACUGGCUUGGGCUACCAGCAUGCUAUUUGUGCCUCCUGGGAUCCUGGUUUAUAAAUCAAAUGAUUGGCAAUAAAAGUUAUACUGGGGAGAACAGAAGCAACAAAACUGGAGUGUGCACAGGCCCACCUGCCUGCCCUCAUAGAAACAAGCGUGCAAGCCCUGCGGAGCACCACUAAAUGAAGAUGCAGGAGAAAACACCACUGGUCUGGAAAGCACUGCUGGACAUCCAGAAGAAUCUCAAAUAUGGACAACACUUAACUAACCGCAUCCCUGCACAAGAAGCUGCCAGGCUCCCAAGCGGCCCUUCUGCCACAGCACAACUCCACCCAAACCCCCGCCCAGCUGUAAAAGGAGCCCCCUGGAACAAACGUUCCUGUCACAAAAACCUGAGCUCACAUUACAGGCUACAGCAACCUCCUGACUAUAAAUUUCCAGCCAAGAGGUUACCAUGCAAAAUGAAGAAAAGAAAAACGGGGAAAAUCAGUUUCUGAGGUUCAAAACCGUCACCCACUCAAUCUCAAACUUAGAGGAGAAGAGCGUGGCUCCGAUUUUGGUAAAAGCAGAACAGCACCGAUCAUUCAAGUAUCAUACAACUAUGCUAGCCAAAACAGCAGAUACAUGUCCGGCACUUUUUCUUCCCUCACUCCCUCUUCUUCCUUUUUCUUUCUUUCUUUUUUUUUUUUUUAAUUUUUAAAUAAAGGUAGAGAAAUGCUUCUUUUUUGGUUUUUUGGUAUUUUUUUUUAGUUGGAGGAGAUAAAGACUAGGGGAAGCGGCAGAGAAAAAUCGCGUUUAAAUGUAAAGACAGUGUUUGAAGAAGAACAAAGCCUGAAGUUUUCACAAUGCUGCAAGAAUUACGCUGCCAUUCUGUCUCCUCCUACCCACUAUUAUUAUGUGUGAUAUAAUCACAUACUGCAUAGUCGUUAAUCAAAAGCGUCUCAAAGCUUUUCACAAACAUCUAGUUAGGCCUUAUAAAAGAAACAGUCGCUUCCAUCUCUGCAAACAAAGGAGUCUGCAGAGAGGGACCUGAUCCAGACAGUGCUCCUGUCUUCAGUAGAACCCCAGUGCGGCAGCGCAGUGCACUCACCUAGAUGCUCCUGGUCUCCCUUAGAGCUCUACAAACAUUUACUACGCAAACACAGCGUUAGGUGCAGUUACACCACUUUGUUUAAAAGACCAAUCUGGCUGCGGAAAAGCUGCUCUUAGAACAAGCUGCAGGGCUUUCUUUGUACUAGGACCAAAGCACAACACACAAAGCGCUUUAAUUACAUGUGGAGAGCGGUGCUAAAAAGCAGUCCAGCUAAAACAAGCUCUUGAGUCCAGGAACACACAAGAUUUGUAGGAGCUCUAAGUGCUGAAAGGGAUAUUAACUUCAUUUUAAAGAGAAGACUUCAUUGUCCUUCCCUUUCCUGAAAGCAUGAAGGAAUGAAAAUGUGCCUCUAAAAAUAUAAAGCCGUGCGGUAUUCAAUUCAGCAAUACUCUGAUGAAUAUUUAUCAAUUAACUCUACAUAAAAUGAAUAACUCUAAGUAUCAAAUCCAUUCCUGAACGUGAAAACAGCAGGAGACAAAAGUCUCUUGAAAAAAGUCUUGAAAACUGAGCACUUCGCAGCUUUCCCAAGAAGAGCUGUUGCCACCUCUGCACACAGCGAGAUUAUCUGACCCUUGUUGCUUUUGUGUCCUACAGAGCUGGAGGAGGAACUUAAAGGAGAGCCUAUUUGAGGCAGAAAAAGAGAGAAAAAACAAACCAAAUCUUGCCUUACAAAUUCAGAGCUCAGGCAAGACGGGUUUUGAACAUGCUUAGUUCCCAAAGCACUCCCUCACAACCAAGGAUCUCACAAGUGAGACUGAACUUUCUCAGGGCAAAAAUCAGCCAGACAGGAGCUAAGCCAGCUCCUUAGAUACAGAGCACUCACACUCCCCUUUGCAGCUAAAACUGUGAAGAUGGGGAGGGGAAGCUGCCUGGCAGCAGGAUAAGCGGAGGGCCACAUCCAGUGACACCUUUGGUCUGCCUGCUUUUGUCUGAGGGUCUGAGAAAUACCGCAACGGUAUGCAUCAGCAGGUACAGACAUACUUCUCACCUGCACAAACACCUAAGGUGAAAAAACUGCAGCACAGAACUAAUGAAAGUAACCAGCACUGUAAACCACUUCACAUCAUCCCUUCCAUCUCCAUAAAAAUUUCUCAGGAGAGGCAGAAAGUAGCCUCUAAUAAAGCUUUCUAUAGACAAACUCUCCUUUUCACCAUUUUGUAAUGUUUUAUACUUUAAGAACAACCACAUACCUAGCAGUAAUUUACCAGAUAUUAAACUUAAAAUUAAAAGGCAACACCCUUUUAUUUAUGGUGACCUGACAAAGAGGGUGAGCACAUUAAUAAAACUUCAAAAACAUAAUAAACAUUACAACAUUCGUUAUACCAUUCUCCAAGCCUGAGCUAUUAAAUGUUAGCACUGCAGCUGAAGAUGCAGUAUAUCUACUGAGAGCUUAAAAAUAUUUCACAGUCCAUCGAAGUGUGGCUAGAACAUGAGAAGUACCCAAGGAAACAAGGAAAGUUCAUGAACAAGAGCAUCUCAGAACAAGCUUAAGCACUGUAUAUUGAUUUUGUACCUUACUGCUCCUUACUAGUGUGCAUAGAUAGGGCAGAUCACCCUGGACAUAGCCUCAUCUGCCACACGCCAUCAAAAAGUCACUUUAGUCUUUGCUGAGGUGUAACAGGCUACAGCUCUACUUCCUGAAGUGAAACAAAACUGAAUUCCUAAAGCAACAGUGCAUGCAAAGCCACGGUUGGAGCACAUUUCACUGUUGGUGCUUUUGCAAACAGGAUAGAAUACAUCACGUUCAAUAAAGGAAUCAUGAGCAUCUGCAGGAUCUUUACAGUAGCACUUAUGUCCACACUCUGGAAAAUUAUUUUUAUCAUAUUUAUCUAGAAACCAUCCCUGCCUUUUCUAUUUCACAGCCUGAUAGUGUGCAAUUCUGCAUCAACUACAGGAUUCAGUUAUACAAAGGGCUGGGCAAACAAACUUCAGCAGCUUGAGAAAUGCAGUUCUGGAAAAAGAGGAAAAAAAAAAUAAGUGAAACUACUUACUCAUAAUUAAUCAUCAUUUCUAUGAACACGUACUAACAUCUUUCUGCAUAUGUCCGCUUCAUAUGAGCAGAAACUCAACUUGCACAUAAGUUACUUCGGUAGCCCUUUCCCAGCACUCAUGCUUUACUCUUCUCCCAACACAGGAUCACGAGAUUUCACAUUAACCACUCACUUUCAGGCUCAGGACAGAGACCUGCCAUAAAACCUGGGCAGUCUUUCACUCUGUUUUUCCAAAUGAGAACUCUCAAGUACCUAAAAGAAACUCCACUGAAGAGUCUGAUCAUCCAACUUCUUUGUUUUGAAGUACGAGCAGGAAGGCAGGAGGCUGCUCAGCCAUUGCUGCUGUAACCCCCUGCACCUCCCUGAGCCCCGCACACACGCUUGCAGCUUCUCAACUGCCCUAUGCACGUCCUUCUCCCUGCAGACACCACCUACCCCCUCAGAACACCCUGCCAAUUGGAUAUGUUACUUGUUUUGGAGUAUUUGCUAACUUUACUUCACACCUGCUUCUAGUUUUAGUCCUGUUCUCAUCUCAUGCCAUCUCUAUAAGGAGCAGUCUGAUAACUCACUGACCAUCAAAUGGCUUACGUGCUGUACAUGCGUAAGCAUAUAAAAUGCAAUGGCAUUCACAAAAGUUACGAGACAGUACAGCAAUCUACGAACGUAAACAAACACAGGACAUCCUUUCCAUAAGGAAGCUCAGGAACAAACAAGUUACACAGUGCAUUUUGUAAAAAGCAAUGUUUGGCAUUUAGUGAAUGCAUAACACGGUCAUCUUUUAUGGAGUUAAAACAAGGAAAACAAAAUACCAUGCAGGAAUAUAAAGACAAUAAAGAAUUCAAUAUGUAGAAAAAGCUGACUGCCUCUUGAAAGAGAUAAGAUACUGAUGCAACUCUUUCAUGCAAUUCGCGAAGAAAUUCACUCAAAUACAGAAUGAAUCAUAGAUCACUUUUGUGCUGAUAUGCUGUAUUUGUCAGUACUGCAGAAUGAGAACCAAAUCUUUUACUUUUUACUUUAACUGCACAAGCCUGACCAGCCAAUACAUGCUUUUGUAGCUUAUAAUUUUAUUACAUUAUGAAAAAUACAUCAAUUUAUCAUAGUUCUCUGCUUUCUGAAAAUAAUGAUCAGGCACAGAAUGGAAGUUAAUGCAACUAAACUGCAGAUAAUAGUGUAAUUUUUUUUUUAAGGAGAAAAGGGAAGGAAGGAAGGGAGUUAUUUACAGUUUAGAAGCUUUUCUACAAAGAUUUCAGAAUAAUUUAAUUUAAUUAGGCUUGAUUCUCACUUAGCCAUAUUAAAUAUUCUUUGAGAUACUCAAAAGUGACAUUCUCUUAUACCAUAAGCAGUAAAAUACUGAAGUUUCAUUUCAUUAGGACCAUCUAAUGCUGCAUGUGUUGCCAAAAGAUACUGUCUUUUAGCCAUGUGAUCUCAAUCCUGCUGUGUCCACGCUAGUACACAGCAAGUGCCCAAGGUGAAUCACUGUGCUGUUUGGCUGAAAAGCACAAAAAAACCCAAAAAACUAUGAAGUCAAAGAAAAUGUCUGUGCAGAUCCUUCAGCUGAUGUGUUUCUCUGUCUAGGAAGAGAAUCUUUUAAUAGCAUUGCCAAGAAGGCAUGCAGAGUAAUUCAGCAGCAAGCCGCCACGCAGCAGCAGUACAGUGUUGGGUUGCAUCCACCAUGCAGCCUCCCCUCAUCAAUGGGAUCCACUUUUAUCUCUGGCUGAAACCCCAGCUAAACUACACAGGGCAUCCACUGAACUGCAAGCACUGCCUCAGCUGUCUGCUGAACACUAUGUGCAUUUGAGGAAGGGCUGGAAUGUACUGGCUCCAUAACCUUCCACAGAGACUGAAAUUUCAUUUUCAAUACAGGUUUUACAGCUUCACUUUAGGACGUGCUGCCAAAUUUUAGCUAAAUUAUUUUUGUGAUCAUGGUUUCAGAAUAAUGCACUUUCACUUGGGAAACGAGGAUUUGUAGUAGAAAGCUAUGUGCUAGGAAAUAAAUUAUUUAAUAAAAACAUUACAGUCUCAGAUCCUACAAAUCCUAUAGCAUUAGUACAGCAACUUGGGCAAUUCGCCCUUCACUCCACCUCUCGUGCUCACAAACUGUGAGCGCUCUGCACAACUACCACAGAACUCUGGGUGAAGAACAAAAGAAUUUGGGUAUUACUCUCUCUGGAGGCAGUAGUUCAGGCGUGGAACUGUAAAGCACCUGGUAACUUCAAGAUUCCACUUAAAGAUAACAGCCAAAAUACUUUGCGUCAACUCACCGGACAAUAUUCACAUCCAAAUUUCCCUCCUUAUUCUACACAUUUUUUUCCCCGAAAUGUGAGAGUGACCUUGUUUGUCCAAAGUGUUUUGAAAAAGGCUGAGGUGUCUAAAUGGCAAGCAAUAUCAUGCAAUCUCUUGCUUUUUACAAUAUUUCAGCAUCGCUAUACUGAGACACUAAUGUACUUAUUACUACUUAUUUUUUUAGUGCUAAAUAACAGGCUCCGUGUUGUUGUUUCCCCUCCACUUUUUGUGGCUAAAUUCUGGCAUCAAAAAUCCCACCCAAACGCAGGCAUCCAUGCCGCCAGCCCACAUACACUUUUUGGCAGCCUCCAAAGCCAUCAGUGCUCCUUACAAGGCAGCUCUGUGCUGCGCAGUGACUGACGCCAGGGAAAUACUGCCCCAAAGUGAAGCCUAAGACUGAAAAUGUCUGCAAGCAUCAGAACCCAUCAUCUGGAAAUUCGUUUCAUUUGAUGAGUAAGCAAAGCCUUCAGAGGUCUUCUAACUCAACAAAUUUACAGUGCACGUACGGCCUCACACUUUUUCCAGUUUUAACUGGAAAAACCCACAAAGGAGUAGAGAAGAUACGAAGACCAUUCAUGGACAAUAUAUGCAGAAGUAGAUUGAAAAUUCCAGUCCAAGAUAUUUGUCUCACAUUCCUACAAGUAAAUACUGCUUUCAGAGCUCGUUGUCUAUCCUUUGACAUUGGAAACAGAUGAGGAAUUGUUUCUUGGGCAGAGAGAUUUGUUCAUAAAGAACUGGAAAACAGAACAGCAGCAGAAGUCCGAGCUUUAAUUUUUUACCUAUUUCCCUUAUAAACACACAGCUACUGUUUCAAGGUAUAUCAGCUCAGCUCAUCGUCUGCAGAGUAACACAGUUCUGGUAGGAGCAGAGCAGGGGUCAGUCAUACAAACCAAAGUACCGCAGAGACACCACAGCAUCUCUGAUCCUCUGCUUCCUGAAAAGCUGACUCCCUGAAAUCUGGAACUUACCACAAGGAUGUGAAUUAAGCUCUUCAGUUCCAGAAGAUCUACACCUACUCAACACACCAAAAUUAAAAAAUUCUCCGGCAAGCUACAGGGCUGUGUCCCACCCAUGUGCUUCCCUGCAGAGAGAAGGUGGGCAGCUGAAAGCAAAGGCAAAAAAUAAAAGCUCCAAGCACUUACUCAUGGCCAUCACAAGCUGUUCAUCACACUAAAACGGAAGGUGAGAGCCCAUUACAGUUCAGCAGCAGCUCCAGAUUGAGGAGAUCCACGUCAGGUCACAGAAUAGCAUGCAUUUAUGCCAAUCAAUCCCAGAACAUCUCCCACCCAUCCUGUUACUUGGCCUGUGCUUAGCACAGCAGUGAACUGAGCCAUCCUGAGCAGCUCCUGUUUACUCAGUCUCAUGGCAUUAGCCCCUCAGCAGGAAAAGGAGUAGCAACACGUGCUGCUCAGUCUCCCUAACACUCUUGGGAGAACUCUGGGACCAUAUUUGGCCCCAAAGGCUAAUGAAGGCAGUCCAAUGGUACCCAUGUAAAAGUUUUCCUUUCCAGCAAACACACUCAUCUACUGCUCAGUAUACACACAGCACCCUUUGUGAACUUAAGAACUUCUUCCACAAAUCCUGCUGUAGCAACAAGAGGACUGAAAAGGUGGUAAGAGAUCAGUUUUAGUUCCAUUAUUAUCAGAAAACAGGGAUGAGGGUUUUUUUGCAUCAUAAACAGAAAUUUUACAGUGCAAUGGGAAUUGCUAAGAGGCAGGCUAUCAGCCUCUGGAAAGGAAGAAUGGAGCUUUACAAGACAUAUAAAUGAUCUGGAUGAGUCUUGUACAUGUAAACUGUACAAAAGGUGCAAUCCAUUCUGUUGGGUUUUCCACCCUCUCCCUCCCCCCCAUAGCUUAAUGAGACCACCCUUAUAUUAUGCACAGGUGCUAUCACAGCAUUCUUUUUUUGCAAUUCAGCAUUCUGCUUCUGCAUUACAUUAGAGAAAAAAGGCUGUGAAAACUCAAUUUUGCAACAAUAAAGCAAGAUAUAAGAUGUUAACCAAACUCAAUGUACAACUGUAAAUAUAAAUCACUGCACCAACUCAUUCAGCUGUUCACAUACAAGCUCAAAAGAUGCUUGAAAAUUUCCCUUCAGAAACAACAAAUUUUUGGUGAAGCUGUCACUUGUAGCCAUUCUCAAGUUUGAAAUAAAUUCACCAAUCCUAGAAAAGCAAAAUCUGAAAAUAGAAAUAAAAGGAAAAUCAGAAUUCCCAUUGCCAGUACUGAUCUCAACCUGGUUUGUUACCAACUUCAGGUAACAGAAAUAAUCUUCAGUAUCACCAUUCUACAGUUCAUGGUUAACAAAGUUUCCCUUUUAAAUCUACCUGAUAAUGGAACCUUUCCAGAAAUUAAAAGAUAUCUGAGAAUACUACACUGCUUUUCUUUAAGUCAGGAAUCUUUAGUAUAAAGAUAAGACUCCCAAAUAUUUAACAGAGCACUUUCUGAUUACCUCUGGAGAAGAGUCAUGUAUAUUUAGCAGGCUUUGAGUCAUAUGAUUUUUACAUGUUUAUUCUUCUUACAUAACAGAACCACUUCGAAAAUUUACAAAGAAACAGCAUUUGGCUUUACUAAACUGCCAAUUUCAGAACCUUACAAGCUAUCCCUAAAAUUUAACAUGUAAUUCUAGAGAAUAAUGAUCCUGACAGCCUCUAAACAUACAAUACUUGGUAUUUCAACCUCACAAAUCACCAACCACAACUUGCAGAAGAAAGUCCCAAGAGCACAUUUUACUUAAGUUAAAACUAGAGUUUCAACUGCCACAAUCAUAUGCCAUGUGAGCAUCAACCUCACUCAGUAUUACAACACUGCAUGCAUGUUGUGUUUACUUCCCCGAUUAAGUCUGCCAAUCUGAGACAUCCUCGAUUUCAACUUAUCGUUAUUACCAAAUUCAAUUAACACCUUCCUCAUCUGCAAAGAUCUUACUAAAGUUUCCUUACGAGCUCACAAAGUUUCAUAUCCAAGAAAACAAACAAAAAAUUCACCCUGAACACAGUUUCAAAAUCCGAACUGUUUUAUUAUUACACCUCAUUACACGCGGUAACACAGUGUACCAAGAUAAUCCUGCCUCUCUGGUUUUAAAACUCUGUAGAAAUGUAAUGGAAGUGUAAUUAGCUACUUACAUUAACCUAAUUACAACAAAGCACUACAUGCAAGUUGUUUUGUUUUUUUAAAAAUCAGGAAAGAGCCACUAUACAACUACAGUUCUAAUUAUUUUUAAUGUAGGUUAGUCCUAUCAAACUCCUCGGACUUCCUCCCCAACCUCAACAAGAAAGAAGCAGUAGAACACAGUGCUGCUCUACACAAGAAGGGCAGGUGGCACUCUGAAACACAGCAAAUGGGCCUUGAUUCAAAAAUCUAUUCUGCCUCCGAGCAGCUUCCAUGUUAAAGCAGUUAAUUCACAGAUUAUUUUCAGUCCCUUACUGUCAGCCCACAGCUUAUUAUUACUGUAUUACAAAUAUGUCCUUAUGCUGUUUACUGGUCCGUAAUUGUGUUUAGGAGCACAUCAUGAGAGAACACUUGUGUAUUUUCCUCCAGCAAGAAUUCAUCUAACUUUAAAAGCACCCAGAAAUAAAAGACUGUGCUUUGAUAAGAAGCAACGCAGUCACUGACCAAAAAAAUAUCAUUACCUUUGGUAUUAAAAAGCAAUAAAUGCCCUUGUUAUUCCAACAAAUCAAGCCCAAGAACAGGUCAGAAAAGAGGAUUUUCUCUUUACGGAUGUCACUGUGAAACUUUGGUGGAUUUGCUUGGUUUAUACUGCAGUUGUGACAUUUUUUAAUGGAGUACUGAAGAACAGACUUAUCUUAGAAGGACUACAGAGCUUCAUACUGUAUUUGCAAUUACUGUUACAAAGGCAAAAUGAACUUACAAAGAACAUUACCAUCUUUGAAACACUAAUUACAUUAGGAUUAUCAGGCAAUUUUUCAGCAUAUCAUUCGAGAAUUAGCAGACAGAACAGGAGACGCUAUCAGAAACAACUUCAUUCAUGCACUGCUUCACAAGUAUUCCAGUUGGCAUUUAAAACCCCAGAGCUCAGCCAGAGAUUGCUUUUUAAUGUAUUCUAGAAGGCUCAGAGAAAUACUUCCACAGGCAAACAGGCUAGAGUUAUUCUGAGCAUUCCUCCUCUUGCACGCUUCAGCUUCUCUGCAUUUGCAGAUUUUAUUCAGCAGCUGGAAGCGUUCAAACAAAGGAACCUGUUAGGUAAAGCUGAGUUUUACAGUAUUUAUUCCUUUAAAAGGCUUCAUUAAACCAGCUUAUUACGCAGUAACCAUGAGGAACUGUUUAUACUAUAUUAAGAAUGCACCUUUAUACGUGUAGCAAACCCAAGGCAGGGUGUGGUUGGCUUGCAACUGGCAGGGAACGUGUGUCUUUCAAAUAUUUCCAGUUCUACUGUGCCGCAGCUCGGGUUGAAGGCAGCACAAUGCAAACAGGUUAAAACGCAUUCAGAGUUAUCUCAUGCCAUUGCCACAACUUCAAGGUGUGCCUUUUGGCUCUGCUUAUUAGAGAUACCCUCUAUUAUUCACCUUGUUUUACUUGCUUGUUCAAAGCUGAACAGCACUUCUUUGGAAGAAGAUACGCAGCAAAGCACUCAGACUUUCACAGAUCUGCACUCACAAUCUGCAAAAGGAGACGAUGAGCGUCCAAAAAUCAUUCAAUAUACCAUACCACAUCCAACAACACACACGGAGCUUCAGGAGGAGCUUUCCGCAAGAUCCCUCAUCAAAUGCUCUUAGAAGAAACCAAAUAACCAUAGAAUGAGAGAGAAAAAAUUACUUGCAAAUUAUAACCAAUCAACAAACACGAAGCGAGAUAUGAGCAGAAGCAAUAAGCUUUCUCAAAUCGUAAGCAGGGGAAAGAAAAAGAAGAGAAGAUAUACUGAACAGUCAGGGGUCCAUGCUUGGACCCACAUUGGUAAACCUGAAGUGAAUCAUCACAAUAAGGAAGCUUCACAUUUUUUAGCCUUCCAGAAAACACCUGCUCACUGAAAUAGAUCAGCUUCACAUCACCAAAAGGCAUGGGAAGAAACUGGGGUAUUUUAGAAAGGAAAACAAAGUAGAAAUAACCACUACAUAUGACGUACCACAGCAGUUCUUGAUUACUGUUUGUAACUGUAUGCAUAUUGCUCAGGCAGAAAAACUACAGAAAACAUAACCAAUGAUCAGAGAUGCGGUACAGCUUUCCUACAUCAAAAGUUACUGGGAACUUACGGCCCUGGACAGAUAAGAAAGAGAGCUAAAAGCAUAAACAAUGUGAAAAACACAAGUGGAAAAUAUUAUCCAUGAUAUUACAUCAUAAAAGGAUUGGAGAAAUCCCAGACAGAUAAGCAGUGUUGAAAAACAAAUUUGAGAACAUUUUUUCCCCCACAACGCAUAAUGAAUGCAACCACUGGACAACAUCGAGGCCAAAACUGUACUCUGAUUCAAGCGGUGGAGCACAAAUACACAGAAAACAGACAGUUUUUAAUAUAACAUUUUCAAAUCUGUCAUCUCCAACUCCAGCAGUGCUGAAGCUAAGAAAAUACUUACAAGAAAUACAAUAAUACAAAUAUUUCUUACAUUUUCUUCUCAAAUAGUGAAGAACUGUUAGGCACCGUUUUAGCACUACCUAAGGCUUAACUUGAACAGUAUCCAAAACUGAUACAGAGAGAACAGCUUUCAUUAACAACAAGCAAAACAACUCUCAGAUCCUAAAAAAAGUUUCAUUCAUUUUAGGGUAAAACACGUACUGAACACUACUAGAACUUUCCCUUAAUUUUCCUCCUUAUAAUAAAUGAAUGGUUUCCAGCCCAUCAUUUGGGGCAGGGGAAGAGUGAAGUGCAACAACGUUGAACAAUGCAUUGCAUUAAGGAAAUCCUACAAAAACUGGAAGAAAUCUCUCACAUUCCUCUGGCAUCAUAAGGUUCAUGUUAAAUUGAACUAGACAUGCCCUCAUAAAGAAAUUGGGUUGUUUUUUUUCCUUAAAAAAAAAAAAGCAUGGUGCACUGACAAGAGCUUAGAUUCUUUUUCAUGCAUCAAGUUUUCAACUGCUCCAUGCUCGCAUUCAAUCCUUAUAAUCAUCUCUCAUUUGUAAAGCACAUAAUUUAAGAUUAUGCAAUUGCACUAUGACUGCCCCAAAACAUUAUGUGCUGAAAGCACCAAAGCAUUUACAGACGUAGGCUGCCAAGCAGUCAUGCCUUCAAAACCGCAACUCAACCACUACUUGAGCUGAACUUGUUCGAACUGGACUGACAUACAGAUGUAAAGUACUGUGUUCAUACUAAAUUGCAAAAUAAAUGGCAGGAAAACAAAAACAACACACCUGUUGGAAUGCAUUCACAGAAACAAUCUGCCCUGCACAGAUUGGUAGCAAUGGCCAUGCUGCUGUAAUACAGUUUUGAAAGAUGAGAGAAAAAAAGAGAACAGUAGGCUUCACAACAGGAACAUGCAGAAAAAUCAUAAAUACAUCAAACCACUGAUGCUCUUGAGGCUUUUUUCUUCUCAGAACUGCACUCAGAAAUGAAAGGAGUGAUGCACCCCAGGAGAGGGGGGGGGGAAAAAAGAAAAGGGUCUGUUUGUCUCAGCUCAGCCUCUAGUGUCUAAAACGACCCACAGCAGCCUCAGUCAGCACCCUCAUUUGAACACAGACAGGUAUAAAAAAAAAAAAAGAACUACAGAAGAGUUAUUGUAGUUGCAAAUCACUCAGAAGAUGAGACAGCUUCUUCUCUAUACUUGCAAAACCUAUACUCUGCUUGUUUUACAAAUGAAGGCUAUACCAGCUUUCAAGUAAUUGACUUAUUUUCAGCUUGAUUCACCCUUCUCCAAAGCGCUUACCAGCUUUGCUGGUCUUUAAGGGAUGGCAACAUACACCUCAAGUUGCUACACCACCUUUAGGAUGUGGUUUGAUGAGCAACCAUCCUGCAGCCUCUCUCCUUUCUGCUGCUUUCUCAGUUGAGCAAGCAGAUCUGAGAGCAGAAGGCAGUGUGCUGCAUGGUGCAGCCAUGUACCUGAGGGGUAGGUCCCAUGCAGAGCAGGGGAAAGUCAAGGCUCCUGGAGCAGGCACCUUCAGUGACAAACACCAGUCAUAAUGCAAUUUCAGGUAUAGGUGUGACAAGCAGGGGACUCCAGUGCAUCGUGAAGUGCACUGUGCAAGUCAUCAGUCCUUUUCCUCAGCUGUCAAACAAAUUGUUUUAGGAGACAUCACCUUGCAUCAAAACUGCAAAGGAGAGCGAGCAAAGAAAAAAAAUGGUUUUCUGUCUAAGCCACAUUCUGUUACUUUGGGCAUCCGAAAUGUGCUCACUACCAUUCAGAAAAAAUGAUCCUCCUUCAUGCAAUAGAUUAAUGCAGGUUCUCCCGGAGCAGCUUAGGUUAGGCGACAAGUACCUCAGAAAUGCUGAAAAUUCACAAAAAAAAUUCUUCUAUCAAAACCAACACAAAUUCUAACUAAGAAAGUGCAAAUCAUUUUAGAGAAGAAUGACUGAACUCAAUACUCGAGGACCUUUUGAAGGACUUCUCAGAAGAAAAGAGAACCUAAGCUAUUUCUGGCUACCUGGAACUCCACAGUAAAUGACAACUCUCCUUCUUCCUUCAGCUAUCCUUUCCAGGAAACGUGCUGAAAUACACCUGCACACAGGGCAAAUCGCAUUUGCCUGCUCUCCAUUGUGUCAAGCACAGAAGAAUUUUAUGUUUAAAAAAUAUUAAGCCGAACCCAUGAAAUUUAAGCCAAAACCAAUCUGGAAUUGCAUGGAAAAAAAAAGUUAAGUUUCCUUGGGUAGAAAUGAAAGAGCUUGAAGUCUAUAUAGAGUUACUGUACUGAAUCAAUUUUGCGGUAAGAUGAUCCUUCCUGUCCAUCAAGGCCCUUCCAAACACUUACCAAUUUUUUUUGUGUUUUUGUUUGUUUGGUUCAUUUUGUUUGUUUGUCUUUUGAAGUCAUUCUGCUUUCCAUUCCAUAAACAACAAACUCCUCCACAGUAGGAGGUCAGAAACUAUUACAACGAAACAGCUACGAAGCAAAAGAAAUAGCACAGAAAAUCCAGACAUGGUCUAACUGCACUCCAUGGAUUUGAUCUUCAAAAGGAACAGGAGAUUUCCUUCUCAACUGACUCCUCUUCAAGUUUCUUUACAAUGUGAGCUUCUUCCUGCGUGCCACAAAAUUUAUCAGCCAAAACUUUAAGACCUGAAAAGAUAAAAAGCUUCUCAAGUUCAAAUGAAAAUCCUUUGAGGAUAUUUUGAAACCAAACCAACUCCCCAAAGCUACUCCGUACUAACAGCCAUGACUAAAACCAAUUUUUAAGAAAUGCUCUGCUUCCAACAGCUUUCACAGCCAGUACUGCACCUCAUAUUCUUAGAUUUCAGAACAAACACACGCCAGAAAAUACAUCUACAAUCCCUUCACAAACUCAGUAUUCUGUCACUGAAGGUCUGUAUUGUGGAAGCUCCUCAUGCCUGCCCACUACCACUUCACUGCCUGAAGUAUUCAAAACAACAGCAUUUCACCCUAUGCUGAAAUAGAAAAAGGCUGGACUUGCUUGCUGGCUUUUACCCUUCAUAAUUUCCUCUGUUCUUUCCACUUGCACACCAGGAGCAAUUCAUUCUGCAUUACAGUAACAAGCAAGUGCAAGCUCAAUGAACUCUUAUCCUGCUCAUCAAUUCCUCAAUACAACUGUAGGUUCACAAAAAUCUUUAUAAUCUUAUCCCUGCCAUAGUUAAUAUCUGGUUAAUAUAGUUAAUAUAAACAAAGACUGUUUUUCACUUAAAUCAUACUGGAGGUUGGAGAUUUGAUAUUUUCAGCAACAACAUUAUAAAAAAGAAAUCUAAAAUUCUUCUCUUGUAACCAACCUUACCAAGGAGAUUUCAACCACAGCUGUAACCAUAUAUGCCAAGAACACCAAACCUUCCCUUGCCUGGGACACACUGAGUGAAGUGAAUUGGCCAGGGUUGCACUGUGAAGGUUGCUCUCAAACUAGUGUCUCCUAUUUAUUUCCAUGGAAAUGAUAACAGAUACAAAGAGCACAAUAACACUAUUUAAUAGAGCAAAUUCUCAGCAACAGAACACUCUUUUUCAACACAGUCAUUACCAUUAGCGACACAUAUUCACUAGCGAUGAACAAGAGCCUGCGUGCUGUGCAUGCAGAAAUCUGCACCAGCAGAGAUGACCCACUGUCACCGCUGCUGAAACACACCACCCACUCCCACUGUGCUCACAUGCACUGCUUGGUCUCUACAAUCACUCAGCAAGCAUCAAUAAAUGUCAGUGGGUGCCACAUGGAGGAAUUCAAUGAUGCACCUUUGCUUCAUCUACACUUCCAUGUCAGAUGUCAUGUUUUCAGACUGCCCCUCUGCUGCCAUCUGUCACAUGGCACCAAAAUGUAACGGAAUGUUGUUGGGAAGGUUCAACCUCUACUGCCAUACCACAAACAUCCACCUCUGACAUAGCGAGCCAACAUCAUAAAAUAGGAGGCAUUACUUUCAGAUCUGCCCCCAUAAAUACAUAUACUCUAGCUCAUGUAUUUAAGUAACAAAACUGAUUUUAUUUUUAAUGUUCUUAUUAAAACGUAUAGAAAGGAGAACAAUAAAACCAAAGAACUAGCAGGAUAUCUGACCUUGCUUUUGCAAAAGUAACGCUUCAGUCCAAUUCAAUGGAAGUGGUUGUCAUUCUCAGGCGCAUUGUGAGCUAUGCCAGUCUGCACGCAGCCCACAGGCUGGACAUGCCUGAUAUAAGCAAUUCAGUCUGCGUAUCGCAGAGUGAACUGUGAAAGUCAAUGUAACUACACGGCAAGUUCAAUUACGGAUGCGCCAUACGCUUCAAUAUUCCUUUAGGUAUACAAAAGGAAUCAAUUUGUGCAAUUUGUUCUGAACACAAAAAGCCCUUUUGGCAAGAUCAUCCUUUAGCUGAACAAUCAGUUUGAACACUUGCCUGCUGAACACAUCCCCCAUUCACAUCCCACAGCAGGAACAGCCAGUUGAACAAGCAGAGUAAAGCAGUUCUGAACUACGAGUUUUGUUUCAAAAGUAAUGCCUCCCAUUUUAUUGGCCCAUGACAUCAAAGGUGGAUGAUGGUGGUAUAGCAGUAGAGCUUGAACCUUCCCCCAGCUAUUCCAUUAUAUUUCGUGCCACGUGACAGACGGCAGCAGAGGGGAGUCUGACAGAAUGGUGUCUGACAUGGAAGUACAUAUGAAGCAAAGGUGUGUCACUGAAUUCCUCCAUGUGGAAAAAUCUGCACCUACUGACAUUCACCGAUACUUGCUGAACACUUACAGAGACCAAACAGUGGGUGAGAGCACAGGCUCUCACUUCGGGAGUGGUAUGUUUCAGCAGUGGCAACAGCAAACUGAAAGACAAGCAACAUUCCAGCUAGCCACUCACAGCUGUCACACCAUGAAACAAAGAGUCUCGAUCAGCUCAUCCACACAAAUUGGCAGAAUACAACCAGACAACUGCAUAUAGAGAUGAAUAUCAGCUUCAAUGCAUUGGAAGUAAUGGUGGCAACAUUGGAAUAUCACAAAUUUUGCACCAAGUGGGUCCCACAAUUACACAGGAACGGAAAGAAAAUCAUAUACAAGUUUGUCAGGGUCUACUGAACCAAUACAGGACUGAAGGUGAUCACAUCAUUACUGGUGAUGAGACAAUGUCACCACUAUGAGUCAGAGUUAAAACAACAGUCCAUGGAGUGGAAACGUGAAUUCCCCACUGAAGAAAAAGUUCAGGUCACAGCCCUCAGCAGGUAAAGCAGUGUACACUGUCUUUUAGGACAGGAAAGGGGUCAUCUUUCUGGAUUUCCUGCAACCCAACAAGCCAUCAACUCCAACUGAUGCAUCAUGAGCUCAAGGCUCAAACUUCCAGAGUCAGGCCAGAGAAGAAGACAACCUUUCUCUUGCAACACAAGAACAGCAGGACCCAUACCAGUUUGAAGAUUGCGAAGCACAUUGCCAGUCUUGGCUGGACUGUCCUACCACACCCAGUGACUUCAUAGUCCAUACUUGGUGCCUUCUGACUUCCAUCUGUUUGGACUGAUGAAAGAUGGACAGCAUAGUCAAUAUUUUCGUGGCAACAGUGCCAUCACAGCAGCUGUGAAAUAAUGGGUCACCUACAUUGGUGCCGACUUUUAAGAGCAAGGCAUGCAGGCUCUUGUCUGUUGCUGGAAAAAACGCAUAGGUAAUGAUGGUGACUAUGUUGGAAAACAGUGUUUUAAAGAUGAGAAUUUGCCCUCUCAAAUAGUGCUACUGUGCUCUCUGUAUACAUUGUAGUUUCCAUGGAAAUAAAUCAGAGGCAUUAAUUUCAGAGCAACCUACAUACUUGAUUCUGAAGAAGCUGGUAUUUUAAAUGGCACUUGAAAAAUUCACUGGAUCGAGACGUUAACAAAAACCACCAGUGGGUUUUUCUGUGCUUUUCUUCUCUCUCUAAAAAAACCUUCCUCUUGCAUUUAAGAUAUCCUUUGCCAUAGUCUCUCAGGAGUGUUACAGCAAUAGUCUCACAUACCUAGAUGCGCAGAGCUACUUCAGGGUUUGUUUGUUUUAAAAGUCAAUUUCUCUCUUAAUUUUCAAAUGACCAGACUGUCAUUGAGUAAAAUUCCAGAAGUGAAAUGCUUAUGUUCCAACAAAUACAUGUAAGAUGGACUUGUCUAUGUAUAACUUAACUGAACACCAUUAUCCUAACAUAAAAAAACCACACAGUACUCACCUCAACAUAAAAAUAAGCAAGAGUGAUUGAUUAUAGGUGGAACACAUUCUCAUCAGUUCUUGCUUCAUCUUCUCGCAGGCUGGAGUUAAUGUUUACCCCUCAGGAGAUGCAGCAAGCAACGAAGUCAGCCUAUAAAGCAGUGCGGCACUUGGUAGCAUUUUUCUUUAGUAAUGGCUCUCAACCAAAAGACAACUUGGUGCAGGUCUGGAGUUCAGCAGCAACACAUCCUAGGACUUUUAGGCCUAGAGGGACAUUUAGGACUAGAGGAAUGGCUUCAAGCUGCACCAGGGAAGAUUCAGGCUGGACAUUAGGAAAUACUACUACUCUGAAAGGGUGGUCAGGCACUGGAAUGGGCUGCCCAGAGAGGUGGUGGAGUCACCGAGCCUGGUGGUGUUCAAGGAACAUUUGGAUGUUGUGUUGAGGGACAUGGUUUAGUGAGAACCAUGGGUGAAGGGCGAAUGGUUGGACUGGAUGAUCCUGUGGGUCUUUUCCAACCUUAGCAAUUCUAUGAUUCUAUGAUCCCUACUGCCCAUUGCAUGUUCCUCCUCUUUCAGUGGUCAUCAGCCAAUGGCUUGGUUAAUUCCAUCUUAAUUCUGCAAAAUGAAAUUAAAUUUCUCUUCUCUUAAGGUUCUCUAGAGGAUGGGUGUGAUUUGGUUUGUUCUUUUAAAGAGUUCUUUUAAAGAAUUUUUGGUGGUGGUGGCAGUUUGGGUUUUUUGAUAAUGAAGAAUUUCAAAAUUAAAACAAAUUCACUAGAUUAAUUUACUAGAUUAAUUCUUUGAGUUUGCUGGAAACUUUAGAUCUGCACUCACCUUGCCUACAGUUGCUUUCCAGCACAUUUAGUUUCCAUAUCAAAACCUGAACUGAGUACAUACUGAAAUGCAAGAACAGCCAGAGAGAGUUCCAGAUUCAGCCUUCUCAGCAAAAGUCAAAAUGACCCCUGUUACCAUCUGGCAUAAUCCAGUCCCAGCACAGACCAAUACUGAACUAGCACAGGCUGCUGUCCUAGAGUAGAGCAGCAGGAAGCACAUUCACAGCAAUUCCCACUUGUACGUGCAUCUUCCUCUCAGCCCAAGGGCUGGCUAAGGAUGCAAACCAAGUACUUCUAUCUCAUAUAAUAUUUUGCCAAUAACAUAAUCCAGUUUUAAUAAAACAUUUAACAAUGUACUGAAUGGUGAGGAAAGAUUAAUUCAAGUUUACCACACUGCUUCUUAUCUGUGUUAACUAGCAAUGCUGUAUUCCUAUUCACAUAACUAGCAUUUCAUGCAGAGGAAACUCAAGUCAGAAACAUGAAUGUUUUUAUUUCCUUUCCUAUCCUUCAGCCCUCAAAAUACAAAUACUAUUUGGUAUUUCAAGAUCCAGGACAUCAAAUCUUCACUAAAAAGCAACAUAUCUAUGGCAUCCCAUAUAAAAGCCAUGUAUUUCAUAUGAAUUAACCCAAAGACACUCCAUCCUAAAAACGCAGCAUUGCUUUCUGCUGAGGUGUUGAUUUACAUAUGUGGUUCAUUAACAAGUUGCUUUCUGCAGGUCUAGUGAGUUUUAGUAGAUCCAUAUCCACUAUAAAUAUUGUUGUUUCCACAGUAAGGUUAGGAAUUUGAACAGCAAGAAUAAAACCUGUUACAAAAAGUGAAAGACGACACCAUUUGCCAUACUCUUAUCCUAACUGAUAAUCUUUGUCCACACCCAGUACUGUUUUAGAAGCUCCUGAACAGUACAGUUUCUGCAAGAAACACAUUUAAUGCUUUCAAACUUGGAAAAGUUUGUCAUCGUGAAUACACUGGAUUAACUUUUUCUUCAGAUGAACUGAAAACAGCAAAGGGAAAAAACACUGUUCAUGUGGACCUGGUAGGAAAAUGAAUGGAGGAAACACUAAAACUGCAGUUUUAGCACAGAACAGUUUCAUGAACAGUGCACACUUAUACAAGCGAUUCUAGAAGAACAAAUCAUCACUUAGAAAGUCCACACUUGUAAUUACAGAGAGUAAGUAACAACUGCACACAAAAACCUGUACGAAAAAUGCUUACUUAAAAAAAGGUCUUUGUAGAGAUAAAAUAAACAAUCAGAGGUAGGAAACAACAGCUGGCUGGAAUUCCAAAUGACAAACCACUUAAUUUCAAGGCAGAUGAAAAGAAUCACUUAAAUAAUCUAAGAAGCACAAAACUAAUCAAAUAGAGGCAGUUUACAUUUUUAUCUCAUCAGUGUCCACUGAUGUAUUUAACAGAAAAAGGUAACAUUAGCAAGAUAGCAAGAGUGGUUCAAUUAUACAUAAUUGCCCCAGAUAAAACUUUUCCCAUGAGGUGAAAGGCAGGACUGCCAUGACAAGCACAGGCUGCAAGCUGGUUAGGGCUCAUGUCCUGAAAACGCCGCACAGCACUUCACAAAUUAAGCCAUUGAUGGAGCAGCCAGCAGCCAGUCCAAAGCACUAGCAGUGCAAUUGCCAAAAAAAUAGUGGGUUCUGGGGCCCAGCAAGUUUUAGCAAGAGCAGUUAGUCAUUGGCAAAAACCAAAGUUGCAGUAUUGAAAGCCUUACCACGAGAGGUCCGACUCAAGCCCAAGGCUGAGGGUCUGAGCUCUGCAUCAACUCAGCUCUACACUGUGACAGCGCCCACCACACCAAGCUCUGCUCUGCAGACUGUGCACAGCCUGCGAGAUGUCACACGUGCUGUGGUAAGAGAUAGGAGCAGCAAGGACAAAGUGCCUUUUCUCAUGGCUUCGCAUGGAAGAUCAACCCAGCCCAGAUAAAAAUACACUCACUGUCUCUUCUCUGCUCCCCACCACCAUUACUGCAACCCCUAUUCACUAUUAUCGAUAAUGCCCGCUUUCACAUUUCUGCCAUAAGCAUUUAUUCUGGCAUGAGUUCUAUUGAUUUUAAUGGCAACACAUUAAAACAUGGUGCAAAGUGCAUCCUUGCAUGCAGAUCAAGCAAACGGUAAUUUAUAAGUUGAAAGCUGAUACUAAGAUGCUAAGAAUAAAGUGGGUAGAAAAUUACUUUUUCCACUGAAAGUCAGACAACCACAAUGGUUUGUUUGAUGGCUGGGCUGAAGAAAUACAAUACAAACCAACAUAACAUGCUACACCAAGUAAAAUACAUCAGUAGAAUAACUACAAUGAUUUGCAACCACCAAGUUCAAUUUAGAAGGAAAAAAAAACUUCAAAGAGCAGUGAAAUAUAUUGAUUAAAUCUGCAGCUGCAUGCAACAAGUUUGGCUACAAAUUAGAAAGUCUCCUUCAAGCCAGACAACGUAAAUAAUGCUUUCUGGAAAGUGCUAUGGUAAAAAUGAUUCAAUCAAAAGUUUCUCAUGCAUCUAGAGAUGAAAAUAGAAAUUUUUGAAAGCACAUCAUCUCAAACCACAGGAAAGAUUAAGUAACAGCAUUUGCCUUGCAGGGUUCAUCAGCACUGCCUAAACCUAACAAGUAACGUUCACUUCUAUUCAGCAUUCCUGCAACAGUGGCUCAGUUUCAGAGUGCAUUAGGAAGUCGUGGCAAAGCAGGUUCAGCAAAGGGCCCAUGAAGUGGCUGGGGAUGAAGCACACGAUGAACACGUGGAGCUGGGACACCUGGGUUUCUUAGUCUGCAGAAAGUUUGGGUGGGUCAACUUGCUUUUACACCAACCUCCAGGGAGAUUACAGCAAGGGCUGUGCCAAACUCAUCACAGCUGUACUCUCACUGUACAGCUCUGAUUUACAUAGGCUGUGCUCUGAGAGGUGGAGCUGGACUGGGUGGUCUCCAGGGACCUCCUGCAGCCUACAGCUCCCAUUUAUCCACCAAAAUUCACCUCCACGUUUACUGCUGCUUUCUGCUUACUCAAGGUAUUGAAACUAACAUUGACACUAACAUCAAAAUUACUACACUGGAUCUACAGGAUACUUGCUGUGUGUGGAAUGAGCAAGGUUUCCCAAACCACCUGUGUGUACGUAAUCAAAUCUGAUACAAAAUAACCAUCACACAAAAAUAGCUAAUAAAUUUUGCUGUAAAUCUGUACUGUGCUUUAGCUAUCAUUAGAAGUGUGGUAAAGAGAAGAACAAACAGCAAGGCACACAGAACAUCAGUGUCCCAUAGUGAAGUCCUGUUCAGUGCAUGAUACCGAGCCUUAACAGAGGCUGCACUACACAUUUUUCCUCAUGCAUUUCUAUGCAUUUUUUUUUUCCAUAGGAAAAAAAGAUGCCGUGUUUCCAGAGAAAGGAAAACACAGACCUCUAGUAGACUGACUCGUGUGUAUGCAUGGAAACGAAUCCUUCAAUGGCAAGUUUCAGGCGGAAGGCACAGGUGUGCCAACCCUCCACAGACAGGACAUUUCUGUGCACACCUACAGAAGGAUAAGGCCACCUGUUCCCAGAAGCCAGCAGAACACUGCCGAUACAAAUGGCAUUCUUUGAAAGCUUCCAGAAGGUGUAACACAUUGGACUAGCGGGUCAAAAAGUGAAUUUGAACUACUAUCCAUUGAAUAACUCCAGCUUGCUGCUGAGAUAUGGCUCACAAACUGAACUGAAAUCAAACAAUGAAAGGCAAUUUCUGAAUAGCAUCCUGGAGAACCCUUUUCCCUCGGCUCCUGGCAGGCACUGCACUCAAACAGCAUUCAGAAAUACAGCUGCAGCACGUUAAACAACAGAAACAUCUUGCUGACAUCAAAAAAUGGAAUGUCACCAAAGGUAACUGAAUGCUGAAACAGGUCAGGACAGGAACGCUGUAGAAUUUCCACCUUUGGAGAUGCCCAAACUGGACAACGUCCCAAGCACCUUUACUAUGCUCAGGGCAGCACGUUGUGAUGGGAGGACCCUGAGAGCCAAGGGGUAACUAUCUGCCAGUGAAGGGGCCUCCAUAAACACAUGGCGGUCUGCAGGUGGAUGAGCGUGCAGAAUUAAGCUCUUCUCAUACAGAUUAUCUGCAUGAUGCCUCCAGACAAUCCUACCAAAAACAUGUGUGAAGCCAUUAAAAUCCCAUUAUCACACCAAAGAAAGACCCUUCGGCUUCUAGGACAGUGAAAAAUCCCUCUUUUUCCAAACCACUAUAGAAAGAGAAAAUUUAAACUGAAUUCCUAAGAGUUGGAAGUUAAAAACAAAAUUGCUCUGAAACCAAGUCCUUAAGAAACUGCUUUGUCAGCCGUUUCCCACCGCUGCAACAACAGCAAAUGUGUCUCUCGCAGCACUUUCAGACCCACAACACUGCUCAUGAACCCCUUCUGUCAGAAACGAUCCUCAGAUGUUGAGUGGCAUUUUUGAGUAGAACAAAAAACCACCACAGAGUUUCCACUUCGUCACAACCCUAGAAGAUCACAUUUCUCCCUUUUCCAAAUGAUUUAAAGAAAGGUCAGAAGUCUUAAAAAGAUAAGACCAAUUCACAUCCUGAAAGACAAACAGCAGCUUGUGGUAGAAUCAGGUCAACUACGGAGAGCUUAGAAGAAUAUGUAAAUGGCUUCAGAAGGAGAUUCCGUUUCUAAACCACGUUUAAUAAGAAAGAGCCAACAGAACAUUUAUGAUCCCAUUAAAAUCCUUUCCUUUAACGGAGCCAUUAUUUUUAAACAUUCUCCAGAUUUAAAAAAAAUGACAGACAACACACAAAUAUAUCAAGAAACUUACGGAGAAUGCAAGAAAAAAAUCUGCUUCACUAGGGAUGAAUUAUUUUUUCUUCUUACAAAAUUAGAAAUAGGUUUUGGCAUAACAUUAAUAAACAACAAACAGAAUGAAGAUAAAUGUGAUGAAGACUCAUACUUAUUACAUCUGAAAGCAUCCUUCCACAAUUUUAGACAAGAGUGGCUGCACAGUGCACGCAUCCUCUCCUUGAGCAUUCAAAUGUUGAACAAAAUCAAAGUGUGUUUUUAAAUUACUAACAGUUAAAAAACAAAGCUGUAAAACUAAGCUUUUUAAAACACCUGCAAACUCACCUGGAAGUCACAGAAGAUACUGAAUGAUAGUUUCAUCGCCCUUAACAGCAAGUAUCUGUACUACUUCAUCACAGAACAAGGCAAGUUUACAUCAAAUGAGACUUAGGCAUGUAAUUAAAUUCUAUCAGGUGCACCAGAACGUGGUACCAAAUUGCUAUCAGUGAAAGUGCCUAAUAUCUAAUCCAGUACAAAAUAGUAGUGAUCUGAAUAAUGUCUAAUAUAAAAUAGGCAUGCUGGCACCUGACAUCCUUUUUCUUUUCCUUUAAUUAAAGCAAAAAAUAAUUUAUGAGAUCAAUAUUUUCCAUGAUGUGACCACUGUACUUCUGAUCCGAUACUGGGAAUCCUAAAGCCCUGAUCACAGCACCAUCGAACCAGCGUUCUAAUUUUGUAACCUUCCCAUAAGUUUGGGUACGCUGUUCCCACCAACUAAGGCAGCUCUCUUUGCUCUUUUUCUCCCUUCUUCCACACAGAGGAAACAGCUAUGUGUUACAGCAGGCCCUGUAAUACUGAUCACUGCAGAGCACCUGACAAAGACUCAAACUUUAUGACAGACUACUGCCAAGAGCUGCAAAACUGUCUUACUACAGCAGACAAACAACAAGUUAUUCACCUAGAGGAUUCAUGAUUCCUUAUGGUCUAGUAUCAGGUCCUGCACAUAGUCACCGCAGGUGACGUGACCUGUACCUCCUCAGUGUUUUAAGGGAACAGGGAUCAAAGAUACCUGUUCUGAGAAGUGAUGGAGAGGGAGACAGGGCCUACUGAGUCCAGAUUGCACAUCAAAGAGCAGCAGCUGAGAUGGAGAGGAGGAAGCUGAGAACGGGGAGAUGGGGAGGAGGAGGAGCCCAGCCCCAUUACUGCUUCACGUGAGGCCUCUACCACAAGGCACUGAUGUCAGACAACACAAAGCUUAUCUUAGACAUUUCCCUCUCAGAUGGGCAUAAAAAUUCAUUUUGCUUCUCUAAAAAGGGACUGAUCUCAUGUCACAAACCUAUCUUGUACAUGAUCCAGAGUUUAAGAGUAAAUCAUUACAAAUGCUGCUUUACCUGCAGCCUCACUGUCCAACAUUUAAAAGCACGAUGAGAGAAGAUCAAACCUCUUUUCAAUGUCAGGAUGUCCUCUUCUGACAGUGCCCCUGUCCUGCCCGUUGGCACCUUCAGAUCUCUCCCACGCUUAACCAAAACUGAUAUUUAAGAACUCAGAUGCUCCAGCUUACGUUUCUGCCAUGCAAUUGCAUAAAUUCCACAGCUCCUCCAAGUGACUGCCAUCACCACCAUGCAGCUCUUACCAGAACUGAGGCUCCUUUCCCCCUCAGCAGUCUGGUCUUAUAAGGCCUGUUGUUCUCUAGGUGUAUCUGAAAUCUCAGUGACGUCUGCAGGAAGGGGCCAGAACAACAGCCAUCGCAUUAGUAAAAGCAGAGGAAGCUGGGGAGAAGGAAGAGGAGUUAGAGAACAGUGAACAGGCAGGCACACACAGUGUGAUCACACAAGCUGGUUUCCAUAGGAAACUAGAAACUUUGAGGGCAACCUUGCCUCAAAUGUAUUAACAGAUACAUAGGAUACAGCCACUGCAGCCUCAGCGGCACUGCCACUCAGUGCAGAUAUAUUUUAGCAGGAUUGGAGCUGAUGGACAUUGUUCAUGCACCCACUGGAAUGGAAAAGCACAGGAGUAAUAACACAAGGCACUCUGGGUGCCAGGCACAGCAGCAAGAGUCCCUAGGGCAAGUGGCAUCUGUGGACAUGGCCAGGAAGCACUUCAUGGACAGGUUCUGAACGCAGUCCUUCUUAAACAUAGCCUCAGGCUCCACACUGAAUAUUAAUCCCAAUUCAAAGGAACGCUUUGUAUAUAAUUUCUAACAGCAUUAGAUUUGACAGUUUCUGCACACUUUGUUUUAUUCAUUUGUUAUGUGAUCUGAUUUAUUUUCCUUGCAAUUUUACAUAUGAGCUCUCUUAUUCUACUGAUACAGAUCAAGAUGUCUAAGAGCUUGCUGAGCCAGGGAUACCUAGCAGAGAAUGAGAAUCCAAUUUGCCCAAGUAUUACUUUAUCCUGCAGCAUACCAGCUCUUACGCUGACAUUUGAGCUCGCAGUACCAUCAGCACAGCCACAUCAGCACACUGCAAGCACUGAGCAGGAAGGCUGGUGAGCUCACACACAAUGCUAUGCUGUGUGUGUAAAUUUUGGCCAGGCACAAGCUACAAACUCAGCACAUCACCACAUCAUGCCAUGCAGACACAAUGAGCUAAAACUGUAAUAGUAAAUAAAAGAAGGGCAGGGCACAGGUUUGAGCACUACUCCAUAACCCUCCACACCAAUACGCUGUCAGCACAUUCCCCAGCAUGGCUUUGCUCAAGCGCACACCUGGUGCAUUGGGUACUGCUAUGCACAGAAUAGGGGUUUUUGCUGAGUGGCUUUGGGGCUCAGGACAGGGCUGUGCAGGUGGGUGUGGACACAGCAACCAGACUGCUCAGAUAUGGCUCACAAACCUGCAGCACAGCUCUAGUUGUGAAUAAAUUCCUCCAUGGGGAGAUGGAAUGUAAAGCUCAAGACAAUUGCUGUUUUGAACACUAGUACAGCCUUCUCGUGCACAAUGUUAAAAUAACUUGCUCAAGGGCAUUUCUUUAUUUCACAAAGUCACUGAGGUAAACUAAUGAAUGAAAGUGAGGUACUGAUCCUACAAUCAUGUCACACAUCAAAACACAAUCUCAUUAGUUCCCGCAAACAACUGAAGUUGAGUGCACUCAGUGCAGAGCAGCGUAAUUAUCAUGCGACUGCACUGUACUGCAUCAGUUGCUGGCAGAACAAGAAAAGGAAAAUCAACGUCCACCCCAGACGUAAUCACCAGUUCUGCCACUGCUAGAAACGAUUUACACAGACUUCCCCAUACACUUUCCUUCCCAGAAAGGAAGAUGCAGAAAGGAUCAGACCAUAUUGACUCAACUGGAAGCAUCAGCCUGCCUGCUCCACACCUUUACCUUCUCCACGCACAAUCUUGAGACUGGGACAACUUUUUCUGUUCAGCAAAAAGGCCCAAGGAGAAAGCACACUUACAUGGUGUACUGCGGUUACAACAGCCUCUCCCUUGUGCAGCUGGGGCUGCACGCCUGCUGCUGCAUGCUUAAGAGGUGGCUGCAGCCCCCAUGGACAGCCACAGCUCAUAGGCCACCCUGUAAGUCCUUCUAGCUUUGCUCUAAGGGAAGAGUCGAGCAGCUUUUCAGUACAGCUCUUCAUGAAGACAAUGGCGAGAGCUCAACUAAACAAGAACCUUUAUUAAUAAGGCAUACACUCAUCUUAAUGCUAUUCAGCACUAAUUACCGUGGUUGUAAAGGGAACAGCAGUGGCACUUCAGUAGUAUCCCACGCCUUUGCUUCCUAGCUUUGAGCACAGAGAUAUGAGAACACAACACCUCGCUGACACACGGUACCAGUUCCCAAACAAAGAACCUAACUGACAUUUCCAAGAGCUUCUGGCAUCCCAGCUAAGUAUUAGGAGGAUAACCAAGAAUGGUUAUGGCAAACGUUAGAUACUGCUGUUACUUACCACUUGAGAAUCAAAAAUGCUUGCAGCACACACAGAACAGUCACUCAGCACUAACACGAGAUUUGAAAAGAAACAAACCCACCACCUUCAGAAAGCCCAUUUUUCUACCUGGCAAAAUAGCUUUGGACUUCUGCCACCAAAAGGUUUUUGUACUUCCUUUAUCGGCAGCAAGAGAACACUGUAAUGAAGAAACCAACCACUAUUUAAGGGUACUUCACAUUAUACUGCACACAAAAUUACUUCAUUUUCAAAAGUAAUAUUAAAAGCUAAUAUUAAAUGACUUUAGCUGCAAGCACAUAACACCCACAUACUACAGCACAGCCAAAAGCUUUUAUUGCCACCUGUAAAAUGCUACCGAAAUAGCGGAGCACCAUUCCACAAGCCCCAUUCUUUCUCCAUGUACAGAAAGCGUACGUGAAAGACCACACAAUCAGGAACACUGCCUAUGCUAUCCUAAUGUGCUUACGAGACACGAGCAGCAAGGAUUUAAUUUAUAGCUAUGUUUUAAGUAAGAAUUAAUCAAAACUCUUAAGCUGUGCUUAGAUCGAUAUGCUUACUCAUUUACUAAUGGUUCCCACAGGAAACUUCACCAGGCUGCGGCACUGCCAGGCAGCUUCUAGCCAUGCUUUCCAAAGGUGCUGUAAAGGAAGCUAGUCAGGAAGGAGAAAAGCACCACUCAUGUUUAAGAAAACAGUGAAUUUUAGGCACUUAGCUUCAUCUACACUGAGCAACACUGAAUAGAUCUUCAAUUCUUCUCUCAUUUUGAGUUAGUCUAAAUUACAGCACUCAGGCAAAAGUGGAGAAUGGAGAAAAAAAAUGAUGUUUUACUGUUUACACAGUUUCAGCUUCAAUAUUUCAACUCAAUUACAAAAUUUUAUUUUUCAGUACUGGUAUCUACCAAAAAGUGUGUUAUCCACCAUGCUUAGUCGGGAUGCUUUGACGCCAGCCGAAAGGAAGCCCAUCGCUCUGCCAAGAUCCAGUGGGUGGCAACCCUGCAUGCAGCAGGGGGUUAGAUCCAUCUUUAAGGUCCCUUCCAAUCCAAGUGAUACUGUGAUUCUGUUUGUUAAAUGCUAUAUAUAGCUAGAUUGGUUCUGUUUGUUAAUUUACAAAUAAAGCACAAGUUUUCAAGCAAAACGAAGAAAAGCGAAAGUUUCCCUCUGCCUGCACUUAAGACAUCUAUCUCUGGGCAUUCAGUACUUUUAUAGCAUCUACCUUGCAUAUGACUCUUUCCUUGGGGCCAGUUCUGCACAACUGUUAAGUCAUUCUCAGUAAGACUGACUUUUCUCCAUCGCCACUGAAUUUUCAGAAGAAAUGUAUUAUAUUUCCUAGCUAAAGAGCACAUGCACAACAUUUGCACGCUUGCCCUUGGCAGGCAGUUUGAGGCAAGUCAUUACACUUAAAACCCAAGUACAAAAGGUAUUUCAAUCAUGAGAGAACGGAAAACCUCAGUUCAGCUCCUCAGCUCUGACUUAUAUGCUAAGAAACUGAGAUUUAAUGAUGCCAGCAAUCAGCAGAUAAUGACUAACUUCUGUUAAAAUAACAGUGAUGAGCACCCCUCGCAGCAUUUAAUUACUGGUUAUUAUCAUACCUUUGUCUUACUGGAGAUGUACUUUAAAUUACCAACAAAUUUGAAAGUCUUUACUGCAUCAACAGUACAUAUACAAGUGAUUAGAUCUGGAACACGGAGUGCACACUUGCACAUUCUUGCCCUACUCUAAUACUGCUGUCUGGAGUCAGAAUAACAACUCCUCAGUUUUCUAAUUUUAUUUAGAAUAUUAAUUAACCUUGAUUAUUUUAUUUUUUUAGCUAAGUGUAAAGGUUAACUACAACAGUUUUAGAACAGAAAUCCCGACAGUUUUAAUACAUCAUAACAGAGAGAGCUCUGUAGAUCUUCCAGCUGUGCCUAGAUACAGCAAUAACUGUACAGCAAGGCAAGAAUUAACAUAAGGCUCUGAAAUUAUUCCAUGGAGCUUCUUGUACAGUUGUAAUUGGAGAGUGAAAGUGUCUCUGGGGAAGUUCUCCGGAGGAUCCAGGACCAUUCAUUUCACUGUAUAGACAUGCCCUAAAAACCCACAGAACCAAAAUCCCAGAAAAGCCUCCUCAAUUUAGCAUGAAGGGCAUAUUUUGAGAUUAUGCUCAUAUUCUCCUCUCGUCUGUAUUUACCAAAGGCAUCAUAACAAGGAUCGUCCUUACAGUCUUUCUGUAUGGCAAAGCAUAAAUGAUACAAAACCGGGGACACCAUGGGAAUUUCCUAAGUGAAGUACAAGUCAAUGACUGCCAUGCAAGGCGCUGCAGAAAUAAGCAGGGGAGGUGGAAGGUUGAGACAGCGGGCUUCCUGUCAGCAUGGCCUUCUUCAACCAGUGCAAAGGAAGGGAAAGAGCAAAGAAAAACACAUCCGAGGAAAGUACAGACUGAGUAAGCAGCUUUUACACAACUGUAGCCUUUCUAUUCUCACUUCUAAAGGUUUGCUUUAACUAAAGCUGAGGCAAAGCGUCACAUCUCACUCUUCAUUCAGGUUGUACGAUCAAUACCAGCCAUAGAGUUGAUGGAACUACUUUAUGAUGAUUCAUGCAACAAGUCGUUAAACACAUUUGCAAAGUAAAAGAUCACUGCCAGUUUCACAUAAUUCAAAAAGAUAAGAUUAUCUUAAAGACGUGAGAAUGUUAAAGCAUAACAUUAUUCUGCAUGGUUAUGCAUUCCUUCAGCAUGGACUGAAAGCAUGAAAUCCAUCUUCAGCCUAUUCAAUUUGCAAACAAGCAACAGACUGACAGAAAUCUCAGCUGCACUCAGAAGCAGGGAAGGCCUCCAAGGCGGAGGUGGUGGGGUCUGGCAUUGUCUUCUAUGUGAUGCAUGCAACAAUACAGUCCCAGCAUGGUGCUGAACAUCUUAGUUCUGAUAACACUAAAUAAUAAGAUUAGUAAUUGAGGAAGUGAAAAGAAAAGCACUGUCUACAAAAAGAUCUUCUACAGUUCUUAUCUCUGAACUAUUUAUGACUUAUGUGUAACAGCAAAAAAAAGCCAACAGGUUUGAGCUUGCAACAUAUUUAAGUCUGUAGCAAAAGAAAAACCGCACCAUCACCCCUCAAAGCACAGACAAAGCCACAUGAUGUCUGAGUACAGUGACCCAAAAAAGGCCUAUUUUUGCCACAAAAUUUCUUCAGCGAGAGCAAAGCUUUGCAUGGUCCUGCCAAAAGACAAGUGUUGAAGAUGUGUAAGUUUCCUCUUACACUGCCUUCUGCCAGGAAAACAAAUAAAUAAGUUGCCUUUCUUAAGUGCUUACAGGUAAAAGAAAUGAGGUUUCCAGGUACAAGUCUGCAACGUGAUAGCCAGAAGCAGGAAAAUGAGAUAAACUCACACCAAUGGCAGCUCUGCUUCCCAACAAGAUGGGCCCACUAUGCUGACAUAAAACUGCUCCACAUUAGUAAGUAAAUAAAUAAUGGUUGCAAGGAUGUUCUUAAUUUUUAAGGAAAGUUUAAACUGUGUGUACACAAGCACAGCUGACUGCUGCUGGAGGCUGCAGCCAGAAACACCUGCAGCCUGUGGGAUGCCAGCAGGGUGCAGCCAGCCCAACCCCGGCCCCAUGCUGCACCGGCACACCCAUGGCUCUGUCCCCCCAAAACAUAAGGGUUGCUUUGGUAUGCACAAGCUUCUAAAUGAUGCUAAACCAGAAAAUACACUCUCCACCCCGAAGUUCACCAAAUGUGGUCCAACCCUUAAGAGCCGUAAGGGUCCAAAUCAACAAAUCCCAUCUGUGAUGGAUAUGCCUGGUUUAGCAGACUGGCGAAGUUAGGUCUUAGCUAUAAUUACUGAAGUACUAAUGAUUUAUAGCUGGGGUCUUAGCACCACUGCCUCUUCUACCAUGCCAAAUCAUUUGCUUCUUUAAUAAGACUGAGCUACCAGCUUGCCAUUUCAGAAAUCAGUGGGAGAAGAAAAAAAGCAGUCCUUGAGCCAAAACAUGGAGAAAAGUUGUAAAACAAAACUAUGAUCUCUUGUAAAACCCCACUCAUCGUGGGUCUGCACUGACUACUUCACGUUAUUUCCAUUAUUUCACAUUGUCCCAGGAGUAAAAAAAAAAAAAUGUUCCUGAGACCAUGCAACAUUUAGGUAAACCAACAACAGCAGGUGUUUAAAAACAUUUAAUUCCUCACAGAGAGCUGUGUGCAUUGCCACCAAGAACACCUCAGGCAAACAUGAGAGCUGCUGGCACAGACAACUGCUGUGCAGAAAGUUCUGCAACCACAGCAGUCAUUUCACAAAUGCUAUGUGACGCUAUUUCAAAAAGUUCUGUGUUAAUCCCAUUUCCAUUCAGCAUACAACAAGCCUGCCACUUGAACUCAAAAGUCAAAGGAUGAUGGAUGCCAACGGUGCUGUGAUCACCCCGCCACUGGGGAGUCGCAAGUCGGGGACCCCACAGCCCCAGCAGCAUGGGGCCAGCCCGGGCUGCAGGGUGUCACUGGAGAGAGGUGAGCAAGCAGCAGAGCUGGACGAGUCAUGCUGGCCAGUGUCUAUCAAGCAGGCAACAGGUAGCUUCUCUCUAAAUGAUGCUCAACUUCUGAUCUGUGCUGUACAGCAGACUGGAAUAAGAUUGUGCUCUGCUGAUUCUGACUAGUUGAGGUUUUUAAUCUGCUGUAACACCAUCAGUUACAGAUGAGCAUGAAAGGAUUUCACCAUGAUAACAGUACAAGUUCAACAUCAGCACACCUGUCUCCCAGCAGCAGUAACGGCCAGCUAGAAAUACCUGUAUGUCGAGGUAGACAACAACACUGGAAUAAACACCACCAGGAGGCUUUUGAGCAGUGGAGGAAAACCAUGAAGAAUCAUGAACAAUCUGACUUUAUGAACAACUGGAUCCUGUAUGCCAGCAGCUUGUUUAAAUUUUGACAACUUCUGAACUGAACUUGGUCUUCAGAAACACUUUGCUAAUUGUUAAGAGCAUCCUUGUUAAGGAAGCAUUCCUGUCUUCCUAUAGAGUCUGAGCCCAAAGAAAAGUAUUAACAUCAACAAGAACCUCCAGGUGUCUCUCAGGAUGAAGCAUUAACCAUCAUUCUCUGUAGCAGCUCCUCCUUGAAUACUGUACUUUUCCAUAAUGCUGACCGAGACUGAUCCCAUUAAUCAAACAUGGAAUUGCAAGACAGGACUCACUUCCAUACCAGGAGCUCACAGACAGCACUGAAGAAUACCCUGUGAGGGCACAAUUCACCAGCUAUUGGGACAAUGGAAAGUGUUAUGUUGUGUUAUGUUCAAUUGACUUUUAAAGCAUGCUUCCAUAAAGAAAACAAAGACUUGUAAAUGCUCAGUCUCUCACUUCACACUUAACAUAAAAGGCAUGUGGUCCAACCUAAAUCAAACAACCCACCCAGCAAACUAGUGCAACAGGAUUUAAAAUCGACUGAGACAAUGACAUAACUUUGCAUCUUAGAAGACGGACAUCUAAAGCAAUUUCAGUUGCGGAUUCACGUUCAAAAAGCAGUGAAAUAGGUUACCCAUCUGCAACUCCUAGAGGGCUUCCUGAAGGUCAGAGUGCACGAUUACUACAUUGUGUUCAUCUUACAAUGCCAGCUGAUCAAGAAAUCUGAGCCUGUCAAAACCACAGAAUUAUUGCCAUUCAUCUCCCCGGUGGCAAUCCUCUGCUGCUUUGCAACUGUGCUCUCUGCUAACUGCCUCCACUGCUGGUAAGGCUCCCAUCUCAGCAGCAAUUGCUUUCUAUUAAGGAGAAAGCAUCUCAACUCUCACAGAGCCACAGAAUCCCUCUGUGAGCACCACCCAACUCCAUGGUCCUCAAUCCAACACUAUGCUAAAACAUAAAGCUCGGGCUGCUUGGAAGUUACUGUUUAGAGGGAUACACUGAAGUUGCAUCUCCCUGGAAAGAAAACACAGAACAGUAUAAUAUCUUUCACUCACAGCAAGAUAAUUAACACACGAUUAAUUUUGCAUGCCACAAGGAGUUAAAGGCCUGACCUAGCACAUUUUACAAUAUAUUUGUACAUACUGAUCAAUCAGUGACUGCACUCACCAGUGCCUCAUUUCUCCUGUAACUUAUUAACAAGAAGUUCAACCAAAGGGUUUCAGAAUCUCAACAAAAAAAAAAAAAAGCAUUAAGAUUUUUUAGAGAUGAUGUAAAAGGGAUUCCACCCCACCACCAAGGCACAAGGCAGAAAGCAACCUGACAUCAGACGGGUGGAACUUCAGCCCGCAUCACAACAAGAACAAAACGCUACAAGAGAGAAGAAAGCAAAAAUCCAGGAGAUGAACAAUGAGCUGAACAAAGCAAAGAUGCAAGAAGCUACUAAUAGACAAUGAAAUCACACCUUACUGACCUAAUUAAAGGAGAUGCUGAGGAAUGAAUGAAGCUACGAAUGCCAAGGAAACAACAAAUCCCAACAAUUUCCCAACAGGCCAACACAGGUCAACGAGAAUAAAUUUACAACUCUGAAAGUGACAGCAUUAGGAAGAGAAACUUGUGGCUGAAAUUCGGAUGAGGGCAGCAGCUCCGCCUGCUCAGCACAGGAGGCAGCCGGGAUUUCAGCCCAGCAGCAGCCUCCUCAGCAAGGGGUUAAAAUACAGAUAUGGGAGAAACUUCUCCACAACACAUGCGCCACAGGACUAAACAGUCAGAGGAAAAGAAGUUCAAAUAGGAAAUCUAAGGGAUACAUACAUUUGGGAUACACUUAACAAAACUGAGAGGACAAGAAGAGCUACAAGAGAACUAAAAGCUCCUGAGGCAGCAACAGAAUGCUGUAAGUGUGAUAAAACAUCUCCUCAGAAAACAUAAAGGGAGAAAAACAAGAAAACCACACUCAGAAGAAGCCACACUUGGACAUGGCUUUUAAAACAACAGCUAUCCAGAAGUGAACCCAAAUCUUACAAGAAAAUCUCAAAAAUGAGAAUUCUUCAAACCUAGAACACAGAAGUGAAAUGGCAAUAAUACAUUUGAUCAUAGAGAAAAUAGGUGGUGGGUUACACCUUCCCAGCUGCAUCCUCCCAGCUCUGUGCUGCUGCCCACUCUCUCCACCUGCAGCCCCACACACAGGCACAGAUGAUGUUCCACCUGACCUCAUGGCACAAGAGGCUCAAUGAACCACAACUGAGAGCAAGGGGCACCUAUCCCAAGUCCCAACAUUUUAUUAGCAUCAGUAACACCUUCUUAAUACACUGCUGAGUAACUAAGUGCACAGCUUUUAAUCAACUGAGCAUAAAUAAACCCUAUUAAAAUUGGGGAGGAAAAGAAAAAAAAAAGUACCUCCUGUUUCUAGUUAAACAAAAAUCAAUCAAAAGGAGACAUCAUAUUUACAUAAAGCACAUAAUCAUGAAACUUCAACUUCACCUGAACUGAACACACGUGUUUUCACAAGUCAAAGAAUGACUGGUUAGUUCCCACAGCCGUUCUGGAUUAAUAGCCAGUGUGACACCCAACGGCCCGAGGCGGGACGGCUGUGGCAGGGAAGCACAGCUCACAGAUCCCUCCUGGUGAUUGCAGCCGUCACAAAAGCUCCCACCUCGCUCCUUUCACCUUCCACUCCCCACUCCAGCCAAAGGCAAACAGAGGCCAGCCCAGCCAUUUCUGCCCAGCAAACAGCAGCCAAACUCCCCAUCGGAGCGCGUACAGCUGCAUACUGCCCGGUUAGUGCUUCCAGUGGCAACAACCAACACUAUGGAUAGGGAGCGCUUAUUAAAAAAAAAUUAAAAAAAAAAGGCCAUUUUUCCUUCCGUAAAACUGAUGUAUGCCUUAGAUUUAGCGAAGCUAAUGCUUAAUUCCUACAGUUAGCGAGAAUUAACGAACGCAGUUAAGAAGAUGAGAAUCCCAGCACGAAGGUUUGCUUUCCGGAGGAGACGCCAACCGCGGCCCCGCAGCCGCGGUCGUGCAGCAGGCAGAGGCUGCAGCGUGCAGGUGCCCCCGGCUCGGCGCGCAGCACCGGGCUCAGCAGCACGGCACCGCCGAGGGAUUACACACCGGCAAGGUCUAAAAAGCCGAUCUGUCAGCAGCGUUAUCCCCGCAACCACCUCAGUAUUCCUCUCCGGGUGAAGCCGUGCCUCCCGCAGCCGAAACGCGCCGGCGGUGUAGCCAAGGUUACACAAGGAGAUCUUCUCUUAAGUUGAGCAAUUCCCAUUUUGCGUCGCUGCUUCGCAGACACGAGCGGGUGCGUUCCUCAUUAAGCGAGCCGAGGCUGCAUCGCAGUUACCCGGCGCACGUAACGCAGUUAUUUUUAAAUGCGGCACGGGGACGUCGGGACGAGACCGCACGAAGGAUAACGCGGGGGAAGAGCGGAGGAACUCGGCCGAGGGGGGCAGCCCCGCUCCCGCCUCCCGCACCU
rnacentral:lncRNA from 1 species